rnacentral:lncRNA from 1 species
GCCUUGACUCUAAUCCUCACCGGAUAUCACUCUAUAUAUAUAUAUAUUCUCAAAAUCCUAGGCUUACACUCAAAUGUCACAUAUGUGUAUGAAGUUAUGUAAUGGAAAUCAAAUAUUAACACAUAUGCUUAGCUUGAAGAAUGACAAUUUCUGAAAAUAAUGUCUCAUGAAAAGAAUCGAAUACUAAGAACUAGAGUACAUACCUCACCUCCAAGCAAGAUUUUCCAAAAGAUCAGUUAGGUCUUUCACUUUGGUUGUAAUGAAAAGCCAGGUUCAGGUUAAGAAAGAAAGGAAAGGAAUAACAAAAACUUGGAACAUACUAAAGUAUUAUUCAUGAUCUCAUACACGGACAGCUCUUUUUGAACUUUUUGUAAUACUCAGCGUCCAGGGAUUGUGCAUAUUUCCUACUCCAUUUGGAAUGAUUUGAACUUUUAUUCUUUUGAGUUGCAAAAUACUUUUUCUUUUUUUCUUUUUUUGCUGCAAUUUUGCACAAAUACCUCGGUACACGCCAAUUCUUUGUAAUAGAGCUCAACCUUCUUAUUUUCAUCACUUUGGCAUAUCCUAAGCUAUAAGGUAUGGCUUAGAAACGGGCUAUACAGGUCAAAAGAUAAUAAGGGUAAUGAAAGAAAGGCU